rnacentral:lncRNA from 1 species
UCUUACCAUCUUGUUUACUCUCCACAGGCUGCAGGUGAUCCAGGAACAUGGUUCAGAUGGGUCACAGCACUUCUGGCUUCUGUAUCCUCACCAAUAUUGUCUUGCUCACACAGCAAAAUUGCAAAUCACUGAACAAUUAACAACAAGGUAAGAACAAGAAGAAACAAGGAAGCGAUAACCAUCUUACACUAAU